CAUCACUCGAGAGUAAUGAUAAUGGGCUUUGCGUAAACAUUAAACGGCCCAAAUAGAACUAACCUAAUUCGACAUUCUCGACCACGUCAAGUGCGCUGAUUCUCUCCUUUCUGCAGAAGCUUCUCCGUUCCACUUCCUCUUCCCAUUGAUGUCUCUAAGAAACGUAUGUAGUUAUGCCUUUCAAUCCAUGAUGUCCUAUUUGGAGACUGUGCGUUCCGGUUAGUAUCAUCUUUUUUCGUUUGCACAAUAUCACUGAAACCCAAACACGCUCACAGUUUACUCAUGAAAUGGCGAAUCAGCAACUAUAAUCGUCUUCGUUUUUGGGAAGCUCCGAAUUUAAAGCAAUGAGAAGAACUCACUGGUGUUGAUAUGGUUUUUGUCAGUGGAAAGUCAAGCAUGAUUCGAGGGUUUAUCAAUGUCCACCGACUCAACUUCCAAACAUAUCCUAAUAGAAGGAAGUUUUUAUGAAUUACGAGCUUAGCCUGUUUGCUGUUACUAGGAACAACCAAAGCUUCAUAUUCGAUGAUGCCCAUGUACCUAUUUGAUUCACUGAUCGGAAAAAAAUUGGAAGAGUUGGCAGACAACUUGCAGGCUUUAUAGAUGUUGUUGGAGAAGUUAUGGAUAUCACUACUGCUUAGAGUGAAGAAACACAGAGCAGUCAACGUAUUAUGGCAAACAUACUCAUUCACAGGGAUACCACGGUCUGUGUGACAAUCUUUGAUGGCUUAACUACGCAGCUUAAUUAAAAAAUGGUUUGCAAUGGUGUAGAGCCAACGUUUGUAGCAACAAACACAAACCCAAAAAUGGUCUCCUUAACGCUAUUUUUAUUUUGAAAGUGAGAGCACUUCUGCCGAUGCUUACUUGAAAGGGUUAUGCUCUAUACAUCAGCUUUGUGUGAGUCAUGUGUUUAAGCUAAAACUUUUCAGUACUGUUACAAUGCAUUGAGUUUCUCAGAGGGUUAUAAGGAGCGAUGACAGUUUCUCCUCAGCUACUUUUAAUUAUGACUGCGUGAAGAAGAUUGACUCAGUGACACUAUCUGAGCUGAAUUUUCAUGACCUUAGUUCACCACCCAAGACUGUCGAGUUCCUAUGUACUAGGGAUGUUGCCAGUAUUGGAACAGCAAAUGGAUGGUGCUAUGUCUCAUGCUCCAAGUUCUCAUCCUGCACGUGUGCGCCCUGCCAUGAUGAAAAUGCGGUUGGAGUUGCAAGGUACCGGGUUGAGAUAUUAGUUACUGAUGUAUCUGACACUGCCAUGUUCGUAGCUUUUAAUGGUGAGAUGAACAAGUUGACCAGUGGUCUUGCUGCAGCAGUUUCAGUGUCCAUGGUAACAUAGCUGAUACGGUAAGUGUUGAGUUAUUGUUGCUUAAUUAAAAACAUCCUCCUCUGUAAUGUCUUCAUCAUAUAGUGUCCUGGGAGUCUGUUUUUGACAUUAAUAAGUCAUACUUGAGUGCAUUGUCCUGUUUUAAAAGAUAAUUUUGUUUGUUUAAAAUUUACUUACCCAGCAA